rnacentral:rRNA from 1 species
UACGGAGGGUGCAAGCGUUAUCCGGAUUCACUGGGUUUAAAGGGUGCGUAGGUGGGCUGGUAAGUCAGUGGUGAAAUCUCCAGGCUUAACUUGGAAACUGCCAUUGAUACUAUCAGUCUUGAAUACCGUGGAGGUCAGCGGAAUAUGUCAUGUAGCGGUGAAAUGCUUAGAUAUGACAUAGAACACCAAUUGCGAAGGCAGCUGGCUACACGAAAUAUUGACACUGAUGCACGAAAAGC